rnacentral:rRNA from 1 species
CGGUGAAUACGUUCCCGGGUCUUGUACACACCGCCCGUCAAACCAUGAAAGUCGGGAGCACCCGAAGUCCUAGCUUGUCUAGGCCUAAGGUGAGCUCCGGUGACUUGGGGUU